UCUGAACUUUUCACCAGUAAUUUAAAAAAUCUCAAUUAUUCCACAUUUUUAACUGGUAAUUAAAAAAAAAAAAUCUUAAUUAUUCCAAACUUUUCACCAGUAAUUAAAAAAAAUCUAAAUUUUUCCAAUUCUUUUACCAGUAAUGAAAAAAAUCUCAAUUAUUCCAAACUUUUCACUGGUAAUUAAAAAAUCUCUUUUGCUCAUUUUCUUCAGUGUUUUACAGAUUAAAAAGUCGCACCUUUGGACCAGGCAAUCCGUAACCAGUCUCUCCCAUCGGUCCGGGAGGACCCGUGGGACCCACAUCACCCUGAAGGCAAAAGGAGAUGAGUGGGCCUUCCUGCCUGUAGGGUGUGGCACAGCGGUAGUAGCUUGGCUUUCUUACCUUUGGUCCUGCAAGAGCACGUCCAGGCAGACCUGGCUCGCCUAUUCCUGGUGGACCCGGAGGACCUGCUCUCCCCUGAAAUCCCAUAUCUCCCUGCAGAUGGAUUAGAGUGAACAAUUCAAGAGUAAGAGUAAGAAAUAUAAAAUAUGACAUCAUAUCUGAGAAUCACCACAACCAUUACUAUCUAUGUCAAGUUUUUUUUUUUUUUUUUUAAUGCACAUACACAAUGAUAUUAUAGAGGAAUAAAAUGCAAAUAAAUGUCAGUUGUGACUCUAUAUCAAUCAAUAUGUCUUAGAUGAUGUCUGAUGAUAUAUAAAUUCUAAGUUUUAUGAUCAAAGCUCUGUAGCUUUAGGGGCAAAACAUAAAAUGCAAUGCAAUACAAUGAUGAUUGAGAGAACAAAUAAAUGUUCGUCAAAGGCCUGAUGAUCAUAUUUGAUGAUGACAUUUGAACAAAAAAUGCUGUGUGGAUAAUCAUGUAAACCUAAGUUGCUUCAGUCUAUUAAAUGUUCAUCUAUAAAUAUUUCAACUUUUUAAAAAUAAGUAAAGAUUUCACAGCAAAAAGACAUGAAGGGGGAACCCAUCCUAAUACAGCCUAAGCAAGCAAGCAAACAAAUUUUAUUUAUAUAGCACUUUUCUAAACAAAUUAAAAGUGCCAUAGAAUGCUUUUUCGUGUAAUAUAAGUCUAAGGUGUCCCCUGAAUGUUUCAGCUUAAAAUACCCUAUACAUUUUUUUUUAUUCAGUUUUUUUUGGGGGCAUAAUUAUAAAUGCGCUGAUCCAGUGCGUGUCCCCAUUAAACACUCACGC